AGGACAAACGCUAACGGUGUGCUUAAUACAUGCAAGUCGAACGGGCAAUGCAGAAGUGGCAACACUUUUGCAAAGCAAGUGGCGAACGGGUGAGUAACGCGUAGGCAAUCUGCCUUGGAGAUUGGGACAACCAUUCGAAAGAAUGGCUAAUACCAAAUACCUUAUUUGAACCGCAUGGUUUUUAUAAUAAAGGGGGCUUAGGCUCCCGCUUCAAGAUGAGCCUGCGUCCUAUUAGCUUGUUGGUGAGGUAAUGGCUCACCAAGGCAACGAUGGGUAGCCGGCCUGAGAGGGUGAUCGGCCACACUGGGACUGAGAUACGGCCCAGACUCCUACGGGAGGCAGCAGUAGGGAAUCUUGCGCAAUGGGCGAAAGCCUGACGCAGCGACACCGUGUGAAGGAUGAAGGUCUUAGGAUCGUAAACUUCUGUCAAUUGGGGACGAAGGUAGUAGAGUUAAUACCUCGAAUACUGACGGUACCCAAUAAGGAAGUCUCGGCUAACUCCGUGCCAGCAGCCGCGGUAAUACGGAGGAGGCAAGCGUUGUCCGGAAUCAUUGGGCGUAAAGAGCGCGUAGGCUGUUAUCCAAGUCAUAUGUGAAAACCUCAGGCUUAACUUGAGGAUUGCAUGUGAAACUGGUUAACUUGAGUGCAGUAGGGGAAAGUGGAAUUCCUGGUGUAGCGGUGAAAUGCGCAGAUAUCAGGAAGAACACCGGUAGCGAAGGCGGCUUUCUGGGCUGCUACUGACGCUGAGGCGCGAAAGCUAGGGGAGCAAACAGGAUUAGAUACCCUGGUAGUCCUAGCUGUAAACGAUGGACACUAGGUGUGGGAAGUUAUCGACGCUUUCCGUGCCGAAGUUAACGCAUUAAGUGUCCCGCCUGGGGAGUACGGCCGCAAGGCUAAAACUCAAAGGAAUUGACGGGGGCCCGCACAAGCGGCGGAGCAUGUGGCUUAAUUUCNACGCAACGCGAANANNUUACCAAGGCUUGACAUCAUAUUGACAGUUAU
rnacentral:rRNA from 1 species